AUUGAACGCUGGCGGCAGGCCUAACACAUGCAAGUCGAGCGGCAGCGGGAAGUAGCUUGCUACUUUGCCGGCGAGCGGCGGACGGGUGAGUAAUGUCUGGGAAACUGCCUGAUGGAGGGGGAUAACUACUGGAAACGGUAGCUAAUACCGCAUAACGUCGCAAGACCAAAGAGGGGGACCUUCGGGCCUCUUGCCAUCAGAUGUGCCCAGAUGGGAUUAGCUAGUAGGUGGGGUAACGGCUCACCUAGGCGACGAUCCCUAGCUGGUCUGAGAGGAUGACCAGCCACACCGGAACUGAGACACGGUCCAGACUCCUACGGGAGGCAGCAGUGGGGAAUAUUGCACAAUGGGCGCAAGCCUGAUGCAGCCAUGCCGCGUGUAUGAAGAAGGCCUUCGGGUUGUAAAGUACUUUCAGCGGGGAGGAAGGUGUUGAGGUUAAUAACCUCAGCAAUUGACGUUACCCGCAGAAGAAGCACCGGCUAACUCCGUGCCAGCCGCCGCGGUAAUAC
rnacentral:rRNA from 1 species